rnacentral:rRNA from 1 species
GACGAACCGAGCGAACGUUGUUCGGAAUCACUGGGCUUAAAGGGCGCGUAGGCGGGUAUUCAAGUCUGUGGUGAAAUCCGGCAGCUCAACUGUCGAAUUGCCGCGGAUACUGGGUAUCUCGAGGGAGGUAGGGGCGUGCGGAACUAAUGGUGGAGCGGUGAAAUGCGUUGAUAUCAUUAGGAACUCCGGUGGCGAAGGCGGCACGCUGGACCUCUUCUGACGCUGAGGCGCGAAAGCCAGGGGAGCAAACAGG